rnacentral:rRNA from 1 species
UUAAGUGAAUAAGGGCGCACGGUGGAUGCCUUGGCACUAGGAGCCGAUGAAGGACGGGACUAACACCGAUAUGCUUUGGGGAGCUGUAAGUAAGCUAUGAUCCAGAGAUUUCCGAAUGGGGGAACCCAAUAUCUUUUAUAGGAUAUUACUUUUCAGUGAAUACAUAGCUGAUUAGAGGUAGACGCAGAGAACUGAAACAUCUUAGUACCUGCAGGAAGAGAAAGAAAAUUCGAUUCCCUGAGUAGCGGCGAGCGAAACGGGAAGAGCCCAAACCAACAAGCUUGCUUGUUGGGGUUGUAGGACUCCAAUAUGGUAGUCUGUUAGUAUAGUUGAAGGAUUUGGAAAAUUCCGCUAAAAAGGGUGAAAGCCCCGUAGACGAAAUGCUAACAACACCUAGGAGGAUCCUGAGUACGGCGGAACACGAGAAAUUCCGUCGGAAUCCGCGGGGACCAUCCCGCAAGGCUAAAUACUCCCUAGUGACCGAUAGUGAACCAGUACCGUGAGGGAAAGGUGAAAAGCACCCCGGAAGGGGAGUGAAAUAGAUCCUGAAACCGUGUGCCUACAACAAGUCAAAGCUCGUUAAUGAGUGAUGGCGUGCCUUUUGUAGAAUGAACCGGCGAGUUACGAUUGCAUGCGAGGUUAAGUCGAAGAGACGGAGCCGCAGCGAAAGCGAGUCUGAAUAGGGCGAAUGAGUAUGUAGUCGUAGACCCGAAACCAUGUGAUCUACCCAUGUCCAGGUUGAAGGUGCGGUAAAACGCACUGGAGGACCGAACCCACGUACGUUGAAAAGUGCGGGGAUGAGGUGUGGGUAGCGGAGAAAUUCCAAACGAACUUGGAGAUAGCUGGUUCUCUCCGAAAUAGCUUUAGGGCUAGCCUCGGAAUUGAGAAUGAUGGAGGUAGAGCACUGUUUGGACUAGGGGCCCAUCUCGGGUUACCGAAUUCAGAUAAACUCCGAAUGCCAUUCAUUUAUAUCCGGGAGUCAGACUGCGAGUGAUAAGAUCCGUAGUCGAAAGGGAAACAGCCCAGACCACCAGCUAAGGUCCCAAAAUAUAUGUUAAGUGGAAAAGGAUGUGGGGUUGCACAGACAACUAGGAUGUUGGCUUAGAAGCAGCCACCAUUUAAAGAGUGCGUAAUAGCUCACUAGUCGAGUGACCCUGCGCCGAAAAUGUACCAGGGCUAAACAUAUUACCGAAGCUGUGGACUACACCAUUAGGUGUAGUGGUAGGAGAGCGUUCUAAGGGCGUUGAAGGUCGAUCGUGAGGACGGCUGGAGCGCUUAGAAGUGAGAAUGCCGGUAUGAGUAGCGAAAGACAGGUGAGAAUCCUGUCCACCGUAUGACUAAGGUUUCCUGGGGAAGGCUCGUCCGCCCAGGGUUAGUCGGGACCUAAGCCGAGGCCGAUAGGCGUAGGCGAUGGACAACAGGUUGAUAUUCCUGUACCAGUUGUUUUUGUUUGAGCAAUGGAGGGACGCAGUAGGCUAAGGAAUGCAUGCGAUUGGAAGUGCAUGUCCAAGCAAUGAGUCUUGAGUAGAGUUAAAUGCUUUACUCUUUAAGGACAAGUUGUGACGGGGAGCGAAAUAAUAGUAGCGAAGUUCCUGAUGUCACACUGCCAAGAAAAGCUUCUAGUGAGAAAACAACUGCCCGUACCGUAAACCGACACAGGUAGUCGAGGAGAGUAUCCUAAGGUGAGCGAGCGAACUCUCGUUAAGGAACUCGGCAAAAUGACCCCGUAACUUCGGGAGAAGGGGUGCUGACUUCGGUCAGCCGCAGUGAAUAGGCCCAAGCGACUGUUUAUCAAAAACACAGGUCUCUGCAAAAUCGUAAGAUGAAGUAUAGGGGCUGACGCCUGCCCGGUGCUGGAAGGUUAAGAGGAUGGGUUAGCUUCGGCGAAGCUCAGAAUUGAAGCCCCAGUAAACGGCGGCCGUAACUAUAACGGUCCUAAGGUAGCGAAAUUCCUUGUCGGGUAAGUUCCGACCCGCACGAAAGGCGUAACGAUUUGGGCACUGUCUCAACGAGAGACUCGGUGAAAUUUUAGUACCUGUGAAGAUGCAGGUUACCCGCGACAGGACGGAAAGACCCCAUGGAGCUUUACUGUAGUUUGAUAUUGAGUGUUUGUACCACAUGUACAGGAUAGGUAGGAGCCGAUGAGACCGGAACGCUAGUUUCGGAGGAGGCGCUGGUGGGAUACUACCCUUGUGUUAUGAACCCUCUAACCCGCACCACUAAUCGUGGUGGGAGACAGUGUCAGAUGGGCAGUUUGACUGGGGCGGUCGCCUCCUAAAAGGUAACGGAGGCGCCCAAAGGUUCCCUCAGAAUGGUUGGAAAUCAUUCGAAGAGUGUAAAGGCAGAAGGGAGCUUGACUGCGAGACCUACAAGUCGAGCAGGGACGAAAGUCGGGCUUAGUGAUCCGGUGGUUCCGCAUGGAAGGGCCAUCGCUCAACGGAUAAAAGCUACCCUGGGGAUAACAGGCUUAUCUCCCCCAAGAGUCCACAUCGACGGGGAGGUUUGGCACCUCGAUGUCGGCUCGUCGCAUCCUGGGGCUGUAGUCGGUCCCAAGGGUUGGGCUGUUCGCCCAUUAAAGCGGCACGCGAGCUGGGUUCAGAACG